AGUGAACGCUGGCGGCAGGCCUAACACAUGCAAGUCGAGCGGCAGCGGGUUCCCGCGAGGGGAUGCCGGCGAGCGGCGGACGGGUGAGGAACACAUCGGAAUCUGCCUGGUUGUGGGGAUAACGUAGGGAACGUUACGCUAAUACCGCAUGAGACCCUGAGUCGACGGACGUGGGGUGGAAAGUGAGGGACCGUUCGGCCGUCACGCGACCAGAUGAGCCGA
rnacentral:rRNA from 1 species